GCUGGCGGCGUGCCUAAUACAUGCAAGUCGAGCGAACGGACGAGAAGCUUGCUUCUCUGAUGUUAGCGGCGGACGGGUGAGUAACACGUGGAUAACCUACCUAUAAGACUGGGAUAACUUCGGGAAACCGGAGCUAAUACCGGAUAAUAUUUUGAACCGCAUGGUUCAAAAGUGAAAGACGGUCUUGCUGUCACUUAUAGAUGGAUCCGCGCUGCAUUAGCUAGUUGGUAAGGUAACGGCUUACCAAGGCAACGAUGCAUAGCCGACCUAAGAGGGUGAUCGGCCACACUGGAACUUAGACACGGUCCAGACUCCUACGGGAGGCAGCAGUAGGGAAUCUUCCGCAAUGGGCGAAAGCCUGACGGAGCAACGCCGCGUGAGUGAUGAAGGUCUUCGGAUCGUAAAACUCUGUUAUUAGGGAAGAACAUAUGUGUAAGUAACUGUGCACAUCUUGACGGUACCUAAUCAGAAAGCCACGGCUAACUACGUGCCAGCAGCCGCGGUAAUACGUAGGUGGCAAGCGUUAUCCGGAAUUAUUGGGCGUUAAAGCGCGCGUAAGCGGGUUUUUUAAGUCCUGAUGUGAAAGCCCCACGGCUCAACCGUGGAGGGUCAUUGGAAACUGGAAAACUUGAGUGCAGAAGAGGAAAGUGGAAUUCCAUGUGUAGCGGUAAAUGCGCAGAGAUAGGAGGAACACCAGUGGCGAAGGCGACUUUCUGGUCUGUACUGACGCUGAUGUGGAAAGCGUGGG
rnacentral:rRNA from 1 species